rnacentral:rRNA from 1 species
CCUACGGGAGGCAGCAGUGAGGAAUAUUGGUCAAUGGCCGUAAGGCUGAACCAGCCAAGUCGCGUGCAGGAAGAAGGAUCUAUGGGUUGUAAACUUCUUUUAUAGGGGAAUAAAGGUAUCCACGUGUGGAGAUUUGCAUGUACCCUAUGAAUAAGCACCGGCUAACUCCGUGCCAGCAGCCGCGGUAAUACGGAGGAUGCGAGCGUUAUCCGGAUUUAUGGGGUUUAAAGGGUGCGUAGGUCGUUUUUUAAGUCAGCGGUGAAAGUUUGUGGCUCAACCAUAAAAUUGCCGUUGAAACUGGAUGCCUUGAGUGUGUUUGAGGUAGGCGGAAUGCGUGGUGUAGCGGUGAAAUGCAUAGAUAGCACGCAGAACUCCGAUUGCGAAGGCAGCUUACUAAGCCAUAACUGACACUGAGGCACGAAAGCGUGGGGAUCAAACAGGAUUAGAUACCCGAGUAGUC